UAGGGAAUCUUCGGCAAUGGGGGGAACCCUGACCGAGCAACGCCGCGUGAGUGAAGAAGGUUUUCGGAUCGUAAAGCUCUGUUGUUAAGGAAGAACGAGUGUGAGAAUGGAAAGUUCAUACUGUGACGGUACUUAACCAGAAAGGGACGGCUAACUACGUGCCAGCAGCCGCGGUAAUACGUAGGUCCCGAGCGUUGUCCGGAUUUAUUGGGCGUAAAGCGAGCGCAGGCGGUUAGAUAAGUCUGAAGUUAAAGGCAGUGGCUCAACCAUUGUAGGCUUUGGAAACUGUUUAACUUAAGUGCAGAAGGGGGGAGUGGAAUUCCAUGUGUAGCGGUGAAAUGCGUAGAUAUAUGGAGGAACACCGGUGGCGAAAGCGGCUCUCUGGUCUGUAACUGACGCUGAGGCUCGAAAGCGUGGGGAGCGAACAGG
rnacentral:rRNA from 1 species